AGCGAACGCUGGCGGCGGGCUUAACACAUGCAAGUCGAACGCCCCGCAAGGGGAGUGGCAGACGGGUGAGUAACACGUGGGAACGUACCCUUUGGUUCGGAAUAACUUGGGGAAACUCAAGCUAAUACCGGAUAAGCCCUUAUGGGGAAAGGUUUACUGCCGAAGGAUCGGCCCGCGUCUGAUUAGCUAGUUGGUGAGGUAAUGGCUCACAAAGGCGACGAUCAGUAGCUGGUCUGAGAGGAUGAUCAGCCACACUGGGACUGAGACACGGCCCAGACUCCUACGGGAGGCAGCAGUGGGGAAUAUUGGACAAUGGGGGCAACCCUGAUCCAGCCAUGCCGCAUGAGUGAUGAAGGCCUUAGGGUUGUAAAGCUCUUUUACCCGGGACGAUAAUGACUGUACCGGGAGAAUAAGCCCCGGCUAACUUCGUGCCAGCCGCCGCAGUAA
rnacentral:rRNA from 1 species